UAACUUUAGCCGCUUAGCUUUGAGAUUACUGUAACCAACGGCUCAUUUCUGUCUUUCAUGAAAGAAAUGCUCAUGUAACAUAUAUUCCUUGUCAGGAAUUAAAGGUAAAAAGUUAAACCGAACAGGUUAAGUCGGCGUCGGCUUAGCCCUCGUGCGGAAGUAGCGCAAACCUCCAACUAGCAGCGUCGCAACGGAAGAGGCAGUGGACAUUUUUUCCUGAUAAACUGCCACAGAAGCAAGAAGGACAGGAAAGAAAAUUCUUUAACAAGUCCUACAUCAGGUCAUUUCGCAACUACGUAGUCACAGAGGAUUAUCGAAGUGGGCCUGCGAACAGGUGCUUCAGCGAUGGGUUGGCGGAGCUCAUUGGACAGCUCCUUUACCACGACACCGAGGCCUUUCAGCUCCUUGAACAUGCUGACCAGAUCCUCACAGGAGA